rnacentral:misc_RNA from 1 species
GACGUAGGGGCCAAGCGUUGUCCGGAGUUACUGGGCGUAAAGGGCGCGCAGGCGGUGUGUCGCGUCGGAUGUGAAAGCCCCCCGCUCAACGGGGGAGGGUCAUUUGAAACGGGCACACUGGAGGCAGGGAGAGGCCGGUGGAAUUCCCGGUGUAGUGGUGAAAUGCGUAGAUAUCGGGAGGAACACCAGUGGCGAAGGCGGCCGGCUGGACCUGACCUGACGCUGAGGCGCGAAGGCGUGGGGAGCGAACGGG